AAUCAGACCGCAUGGUCUUGUUAUUAAAGAAUUUCGGUUAUCGAUGGGGAUGCGUUCCAUUAGGCAGUUGGUGAGGUAACGGCUCACCAAACCUUCGAUGGAUAGGGGUUCUGAGAGGAAGGUCCCCCACAUUGGAACUGAGACACGGUCCAAACUCCUACGGGAGGCAGCAGUGAGGAAUAUUGGUCAAUGGGCGCAGGCCUGAACCAGCCAAGUAGCGUGAAGGAUGACUGCCCUAUGGGUUGUAAACUUCUUUUAUAUGGGAAUAAAGUUUUCCACGUGUGGAAUUUUGUAUGUACCAUAUGAAUAAGGAUCGGCUAACUCCGUGCCAGCAGCCGCGGUAAUACGGAGGAUCCGAGCGUUAUCCGGAUUUAUUGGGUUUAAAGGGAGCGUAGGUGGACAGUUAAGUCAGUUGUGAAAGUUUGCGGCUCAACCGUAAAAUUGCAGUUGAUACUGGCUGUCUUGAGUACAGUAGAGGUGGGCGGAAUUCGUGGUGUAGCGGUGAAAUGCUUAGAUAUCACGAAGAACUCCGAUUGCGAAGGCAGCUCACUGGACUGCAACUGACACUGAUGCUCGAAAGUGUGGGUAUCAAACAGGAUUAGAUACCCUGGUAGUCCACACAGUAAACGAUGAAUACUCGCUGUUUGCGAUAUACAGUAAGCGGCCAAGCGAAAGCAUUAAGUAUUCCACCUGGGGAGUACGCCGGCAACGGUGAAACUCAAAGGAAUUGACGGGGGCCCGCACAAGCGGAGGAACAUGUGGUUUAAUUCGAUGAUACGCGAGGAACCUUACCCGGGCUUAAAUUGCAUUUGAAUAAACUGGAAACAGUAUAGCCGUAAGGCAAAUGUGAAGGUGCUGCAUGGUUGUCGUCAGCUCGUGCCGUGAGGUGUCGGCUUAAGUGCCAUAACGAGCGCAACCCUUAUCUUUAGUUACUAACAGGUCAUGCUGAGGACUCUAGAGAGACUGCCGUCGUAAGAUGUGAGGAAGGUGGGGAUGACGUCAAAUCAGCACGGCCCUUACGUCCGGGGCUACACACGUGUUACAAUGGGGGGUACAGAAGGCAGCUACCUGGUGACAGGAUGCUAAUCC
rnacentral:rRNA from 1 species